rnacentral:rRNA from 1 species
CCGAGGCCAACGAUCGAGCCAGCUUGCUGGUGAAGUGACUGAACGAGGUUCCAGGAAAAGCCACUAAGCUUCAGCUAUACACGACCGUACCGCAAACCGACACUGGUGCGCGAGAUGAGUAUUCUAAGGCGCUUGAGAGAACUCAGGAGAAGGAACUCGGCAAAUUGACACCGUAACUUCGGAAGAAGGUGUGCCCUAUUAGUGUGAAGUGAACAACGGAGCAUGAAUGGGUUGCAAAAAAUCGGUGGCUGCGACUGUUUAUUAAAAACACAGCACUCUGCAAACACGAAAGUGGACGUAUAGGGUGUGACGCCUGCCCGGUGCUGGAAGAUUAAAUGAUGGGGUGCAAGCUCUUGAUUGAAGUCCCAGUAAACGGCGGCCGUAACAAUAACGGUCCUAAGGUAGCGAAAUUCCUUGUCGGGUAAGUUCCGACCUGCACGAAUGGCGUAACGAUGGCCACACUGUCUCCUCCUGAGACUCAGCGAAGUUGAAAUGUUUGUGAUGAUGCAAUCUCCCCGCGGAAAGACGGAAAGACCCCAUGAACCUUUACUGUAGCUUUGUAUUGGACUUUGAACAGAUCUGUGUAGGAUAGGUGCAGGCUUUGAAGCAGGGUCGCUAGAUCUUGUGGAGCCAACGUUGAAAUACCACCCUGGUGUGUUUGAGGUUCUAACCUAGGUCCAUUAUCUGGAUCGGGGACAGUGCAUGGUAGGCAGUUUGACUGGGGCGGUCUCCUCCCAAAGCGUAACGGAGGAGUUCGAAGGUACGCUAGUUACGGUCGGACAUCGUGACGAUAGUGCAAUGGCAUAAGCGUGCUUAACUGCGAGACUGACAAGUCGAGCAGAUGCGAAAGCAGGACAUAGUGAUCCGGUGGUUCUGUAUGGAAGGGCCAUCGCUCAACGGAUAAAAGGUACUCUGGGGAUAACAGGCUGAUACCGCCCAAGAGUUCAUAUCGACGGCGGUGUUUGGCACCUCGAUGUCAGCUCAUCUCAUCCUGGGGCUGUAGCCGGUCCCAAGGGUAUGGCUGUUCGCCAUUUAAAGAGGUACGUGAGCUGGGUUUAAAACGUCGUGAGACAGUUUGGUCCCUAUCUUCCGUGGGCGCUGCAGAUUUGAGGAAGCCUGCUCCUAGUACGAGAGGACCGGAGUGGACACACCUCUGGUGUAUCGGUUGUCACGCCAGUGGCAUUGCCGAGUAGCUAAGUGUGGAAGAGAUAACCGCUGAAAGCAUCUAAGCGGGAAACUCGUUUCAAGAUGAGAUCUGCCGGGGCCUUGAGCCCCCUGAAGAGUCGUUCAAGACCAGGACGUUGAUAGGUCAGGUGUGGAAGCGCAGUAAUGCGUUAAGCUAACUGAUACUAAUUGCUCGUGCGGCUUGACCCU